rnacentral:rRNA from 1 species
AGUGGCGGACGGGUGAGUAACGCGUGAGAAUCUGCCUUGGGGUCGGGGACAACCACUGGAAACGGUGGCUAAUACCGGAUAAGCCGAUUGGUGAAAGAUUUAUUGCCCGAAGAGGAGCUCGCGUCUGAUUAGCUAGUUGGUGAGGUAAGAGCUCACCAAGGCAGCGAUCAGUAGCUGGUCUGAGAGGACGAUCAGCCACACUGGGACUGAGACACGGCCCAGACUCCUACGGGAGGCAGCAGUGGGGAAUUUUCCGCAAUGGGCGAAAGCCUGACGGAGCAAGACCGCGUGAGGGAGGAAGGCUCUUGGGUUGUAAACCUCUUUUCUCAGGGAAGAAGCUCUGACGGUACCUGAGGAAUCAGCCUCGGCUAACUCCGUGCCAGCAGCCGCGGUAAUACGGAGAGGCAAGCGUUAUCCGGAAUUAUUGGGCGUAAAGCGUCCGCAGGUGGCGAUUCAAGUCUGCUGUCAAAGCACGGGGCUUAACUCCGUAAAGGCAGUGGAAACUGAAUAGCUAGAGUGCCGUAGGGGUAGAGGGAAUUCCCGGUGUAGCGGUGAAAUGCGUAGAGAUCGGGAAGAACAUCGGUGGCGAAAGCGCUCUACUGGACGGCAACUGACACUCAGGGACGAAAGCUAGGGGAGCGAAUGGGAUUAGAUACCCC